GAUGAACGCUGGCGGCGUGCCUAAUACAUGCAAGUAGAACGCUGAAGGAGGAGCUUGCUCUUCUGGAUGAGUUGCGCACGGGUGAGUAACGCGUAGGUAACCUGCCUGGUAGCGGGGGAUAACUAUUGGAAACGAUAGCUAAUACCGCAUGACAACAGUUAUUGCAUGAUAACUGUUUAAAAGGGGCAACUGCUCCACUACCAGAUGGACCUGCGUUGUAUUAGCGAGUUGGUGAGGUAAAGGCUCACCAACGCGACGAUACAGAGCCGAGCUGAGAGGGGGAACGGCCACACUGGGACUGGGAAACGGCCCAGACUCCUACGGGAGGCAGCAGGAGGGGAUCAUCGGCAAUGGACGGAAGGCUGACCGAACAACGGCGCGGGAGGGAAGAAGGGUUUCGGAUCGGAAAGGUCUGUUGUAAGAGAAGAACGAGUAGGAGAGUGGAAAGUUCACGCUGUGACGGUAUCUUAACAGAAAGGGACGGCUAACUACGUG
rnacentral:rRNA from 1 species